rnacentral:rRNA from 1 species
CCUACGAGUGGCAGCAGUGGGGAAUAUUGGACAAUGGGGGAAACCCUGAUCCAGCGACGCCGCGUGAGUGAAGAAGUAUUUCGGUACGUAAAGCUCUAUCAGCAGGAAAGAAAAUGACGGUACCUGACUAAGAAGCACCGGCUAACUACGUGCCAGCAGCCGCGGUAAUACGUAGGGGGCAAGCGUUAUCCGGAUUUACUGGGUGUAAAGGGAGCGUAGACGGCAGUGCAAGUCUGGAGUGAAAUGCCGGGGCCCAACCCCGGAACUGCUCUGGAAACUGUGAAGCUGGAGUGCAGGAGAGGUAAGCGGAAUUCCUGGUGUAGCGGUGAAAUGCGUAGAUAUCAGGAGGAACACCAAUAGCGUAGGCAGGUUGCUGGGACGGUUCUGACACUAAGGCACGAAAGCGUAGGGAGCAAACGGGAUUAGAUACCCCAGUAGUC